GCCAAUGUGACAUAGUGGUUUGAGUGUUGGACCACACCUCUGGAGACCAGGGUUCAAAUCCCUCCUUGGCC